CCUACGGGGGGCAGCAGUGAGGAAUAUUGGUCAAUGGACGAGAGUCUGAACCAGCCAAGUAGCGUGAAGGAUGACUGCCCUAUGGGUUGUAAACUUCUUUUAUAUGGGAAUAAAAUGUUCCACGUGUGGGAUUUUGUAUGUACCAUAUGAAUAAGGAUCGGCUAACUCCGUGCCAGCAGCCGCGGUAAUACGGAGGAUCCGAGCGUUAUCCGGAUUUAUUGGGUUUAAAGGGAGCGUAGGUGGAUUGUUAAGUCAGUUGUGAAAGUUUGCGGCUCAACCGUAAAAUUGCAGUUGAAACUGGCAGUCGUGAGUACAGUAGAGGUGGGCGGAAUUCGUGGUGUAGCGGUGAAAUGCUUAGAUAUCACGAAGAACUCCGAUGGCGAAGGCAGCUCACUGGACUGCAACUGACACUGAGGCUCGAAAGUGUGGGUAUCAAACAGGAUUAGAUACCCCUGUAGUC
rnacentral:rRNA from 1 species